GCGGGGUGCGGUGACACAUGCCUGUAGUCCCCACUACUUGGGAGGCUGAGACAGGAGGAUGGCUUGAGUACAGGAGUUCUGGGGUGUAUUGUGCUAUGCCGAUAGGUUGUCCACACUAAGUUCGGCAUCAGUAUGGUGGCCUCCUGGAUGCAGGGGGCCACCAGGUUGCGUAAGGAGGGGUGAACCGGCCCAGGUUGGAAACAGAGCAGUCAAAACUCCUGUGCCGAUCAGUAGAAUGGCUAAUAUAAAAAACACCAAUGACAGUCUAUGCUGAAAGGAUGU
ensembl:misc_RNA Metazoa_SRP Metazoan signal recognition particle RNA